GUAAAUGAUUCUUCUGCUUUUACCAGAAAAAAAUCCUCUCUGGGACAUAUGACUGUAAUUGUCCACGAGCUGAUUCUGAAUGACCUUCCUAAUUAAAAUAAUUAUCAUAUCAAAAAAUUCAAAGGAGACAGAGAUCAGAAAGAUGAUGGACUUGGAGGGUGUGGAGCUCAUCUCCCUCCACAAAAGGAGACAGGGAUCAGGAUGAUGGACUUGGGGGGUGUGGGGCUCACCUCCCCCCACAAGCACGUCAACAAUGAAUCUACAUGUGGGACCGUUCUCGCAGAACACUGUCUGGAAACUGGCAGAAGAUCUCCUCCUAUACAACCAAAGCUGCAAGACAGAUCUCCAUGAAUCCAGGUAGAACAGAAAAUAAAAAAGGGUCAGGACGGGACUGGUGUCCCCUGGGAAGGAUCUGUAAGGGAGAGAAGGUUCAUGCGGGCAGACCCUCAACCUGGGAAGUACCCUGUCCUGCUGGGAAAUCCGCUGGGCAGAUGGAGGGGCUGGAGAAGCCUAGACUCUGUUCUCAGGGAGUGUGCCCACGCAGGGCAGAGGGAGACUGGCGCCUUGACACAUUUCCCAGAUUCCAAGAGGAGAAACCCUUGGACUGGGAAAUGCGGCCCCACGUGCUCCACGUUGCAGCUUGGCACCAGAUCAGGGCGGAGAAGCCGUCUACUUGCAGACAGACCAGAGCCCCUGAGUAUGAUCCUGGCCAGACGUGGAGGCCAUAGUCAGCUCACACAUGGGAGUGGCUGAGUGAAAGGGGCAGGCUUGUCAGCCUGCACGCCAGCGGCAUCAGCGGGACGCGCAGCCGCUAAGCUCUGCGUUCAGGCAGGUAGACCCGGGAAGAGGGCUCAGUCUAGCAGCCUGAGCGCAGCCCGGGGCCUAGAGCGUGGUCCUCGGGAGCUGUGGAGGCCACUGCAGCGGGCACUCAGCGGCAGGCAUGGGCUGGUGGGAGGCCACUGCGGCGGGCACACAGCGGCAGGCAGGCAUGGGCUGGUGGGAGGCCACUGCGGCGGGCACUCAGCGGCAGGCAUGGGCUGGUGGGCAGCUGCAGCAGACACUGUCAGCACACGCACCGGGGACCACAGAAACGCAACCUCUGGGUGCCGAGUCUCGGCUGGACCCGCCCUCGGCCAGAGUGUACAACAUUUCCUUCCCCAGUAGGAGCCCUCGAGCUCUGCCACUCCGCGCUGAUCCGGGAUGGGCAGAUUCUGGGGAAGGUCCGCCCCAGAGCAGUCCAGCUCCCCGACAGCGGCACAGCCACUGAAGCGCCUGUGGCCGCAGCUCAGCACGAGGUCUAGGAUGAACACGCCGGAGAGAGGGAUGCAGCCUCGGACUGUCUGGGUGGAACCCGGGACACCCGCAUGGGUGGCUCAGAUACUCACUGACCACGUGGGCCUCGCAGGCUUCGGCGCUCACCUCCUGUGGGGCAGGGCGUGCUCUCAAGGGCACCCACUUCCAGUGUCAGCUCUAGACACCCAGCCACACCCCCUGUCAAGGAGAUAACGGCCAGGGCGCUC
ensembl:lncRNA